AGCGAACGCUGGCGGCAGGCCUAACACAUGCAAGUCGAACGAACCUUUCGGGGUUAGUGGCGGACGGGGGAGUAACACGUGGGAACGUGCCGUUAGGUUCGGAAUAACUCAGUGAAACGUGGGCUAAUACCGAAUGUGUCCUUCGGGUGAAAGAUUUAUCGCCUUUAGAGCGGCCCGCGUCGGUUUAGCUAGUUGGUGAAGGUAAUGGCUCACCAAGGCGACGAAAAGUAGCUGGUCUGAGAGGAUGAUCAGCCACAUUGGGACUGAGACACGGCCCAAACUCCUACGGGAGGGAGCAGUGGGGAAUCUUGCGCAAUGGGCGAAAGCCUGAAGCAGCCCUGCCGCGUGAAUCAUGAAGGUCUUAGGAUUGUAAAAUUCUUUCACCGGGGACGAUAAUGACGGUACCCGGAGAAGAAGCCCCGGCUAACUUCGUG
rnacentral:rRNA from 1 species